rnacentral:rRNA from 1 species
UACGUAGGUGGCAAGCGUUGUCCGGAUUUACUGGGCGUAAAGGGCGCGUAGGCGGCCUCCGCAAGUCAGUUGUGAAAUCUCCGAGCUUAACUCGGAAAGGUCAACUGAUACUGCGGGGCUAGAGUGCGGAAGGGGCAACUGGAAUUCUUGGUGUAGCGGUGAAAUGCGUAGAUAUCAAGAGGAACACCUGCGGCGAAGGCGGGUUGCUGGGCCGACACUGACGCUGAGGCGCGAAAGCUAGGGGAGCGAACGGG